UUCAGUAGAGCUCUGUUAAUGGGUUAGGAUCCGAGACUCCUUUCGGGGUUAUACAGGCUCUUCUACCCAACUCCUAUUCCGUCACGUCCUUGUCGUACAGAGUGGUAACUUGCCCCCCCACAUAUCCAACCCAUCCAACCCUGUCCCAACCCCUUGGACGGAUGGUGGAGCAGGGCCAGUCACCCUGCC
rnacentral:ribozyme from 1 species